GGUGAGUAACGCGUGGGAAUAUGCCCUUCUCUAAGGAAUAGCCUCGGGAAACUGAGAGUAAUACCUUAUACGCCCUUCGGGGGAAAGAUUUAUCGGAGAAGGAUUAGCCCGCGUUAGAUUAGGUAGUUGGUGGGGUAAUGGCCUACCAAGCCUACGAUCUAUAGCUGGUUUGAGAGGAUGAUCAGCCACACUGGGACUGAGACACGGCCCAGACUCCUACGGGAGGCAGCAGUAGGGAAUCUUAGACAAUGGGGGAAACCCUGAUCUAGCCAUGCCGCGUGUGUGAUGAAGGCCUUAGGGUCGUAAAGCACUUUCGCCAGAGAUGAUAAUGACAGUAUCUGGUAAAGAAACCCCGGCUAACUCCGUGCCAGCAGCCGCGGUAAUACGGAGGGGGUUAGCGUUGUUCGGAAUUACUGGGCGUAAAGCGCACGUAGGCGGAUUAGUAAGUUAAGGGUGAAAUCCCAGGGCUCAACCCUGGAACUGCCUUUAAUACUGCUAGUCUUGAGUUCGAGAGAGGUAAGUGGAAUUCCAAGUGUAGAGGUGAAAUUCGUAGAUAUUUGGAGGAACACCAGUGGCGAAGGCGGCUUACUGGCUCGAAACUGACGCUGAGGUGCGAAAGUGUGGGGAGCAAACAGGAUUAGAUACCCUGGUAGUCCACACCGUAAACGAUGAAUGCCAGACGUCAGCAAGUAUACUUGUUA
rnacentral:rRNA from 1 species